rnacentral:misc_RNA from 1 species
GUGCAACUGGUGACUGGAGAAAGAAAUCGGAGAAGAGGCUUACCGACAUAUCAGUUGAGGAGAUUGCAUCAAGAAACGAUGCAAUGCAGAGGAAUUCAAGGAUAUCUCAGAUUCAUGGAAGUAGUUCUGAACAGGUUGCUGGUUCCUCCACAAAAUAUGAUGACAUAAAACAAGAAUCAGCCUCGAUUACAAAGUUUGAGGGAAAAACAACUGGACAACAUGAGCAAGCAGGACAAUCUAAU